GACGAACGCUGGCGGCGUGCUUAACACAUGCAAGUCGAACGGAACUCUUUGGAUCAAGACUUCGGUCAAGUGAGAUUGAGUUUAGUGGCGGACGGGUGAGUAACGCGUGAGGAACCUGCCUUUCAGAGGGGACGAACAGUUGGAACGACUGCUAAUACCGCAUAACGCGUAGAGAUCGCAUGGUCUUUACGUCCAAAGAUUUAUCGCUGAGAGAUGGCCUCGCGUCUGAUUAGCUAGUUGGUGAGGUAACGGCCCACCAAGGCGACGAUCAGUAGCCGGACUGAGAGGUUGACCGGCCACGUUGGGACUGAGAUACGGCCCAGACUCCUACGGGAGGCAGCAGUGGGGAAUAUUGCGCAAUGGGGGAAACCCUGACGCAGCAACGCCGCGUGAAGGAUGAAGGUUUUCGGAUCGUAAACUUAUGUCUUCGGGGACGAGAACGGACGGUACCCGAGGAGGAAGCCACGGCUAACUACGUG
rnacentral:rRNA from 1 species